rnacentral:rRNA from 1 species
UGACCUCGGAUCAGGUAGGGAUACCCGCUGAACUUAAGCAUAUCAAUAAGAGGAGGAAAA